GGGGAAUAUUGGACGAUGGGCGAAAGCCUGAUCCAGCCAUGCCGCGUGUGCGAAGAAGGUCUUCGGAUUGUAAAGCACUUUAAGUUGGGAGGAAGGGCAUUAACCUAAUACGUUAGUGUUUUGACGUUACCGACAGAAUAAGCACCGGCUAACUCUGUGCCAGCAGCCGCGGUAAUACAGAGGGUGCAAGCGUUAAUCGGAAUUACUGGGCGUAAAGCGCGCGUAGGUGGUUUGUUAAGUUGAAUGUGAAAUCCCCGGGCUCAACCUGGGAACUGCAUCCAAAACUGGCAAGCUAGAGUAGGGCAGAGGGUGGUGGAAUUUCCUGUGUAGCGGUGAAAUGCGUAGAUAUAGGAAGGAACACCAGUGGCGAAGGCGACCACCUGGGCUCAUACUGACACUGAGGUGCGAAAGCGUGGGGAGCAAACA
rnacentral:rRNA from 1 species